UAAAAAUAAUUUAAUUUUAAGUGCAUUUGUUUGGUUGCUUGCAGGAUCUUACCCUGAAAGAAGCAGAAACCAUUGCGCUUUCCAUCUUGAAGCAAGUGAUGGAAGAAAAGGUUACACCCAACAAUGUUGAUAUUGCAAAGGUAGCACCAACUUACCAUCUGUACUCGCCUUCUGAGGUUGAACAGGUUAUCAGCCGCCUAUAAGAAAAGGCCAUCAAUUUGCUUUGCUGAUUUUCAUUGCAAAAUCACUUUCCCAAUAUUCGUAUGCUUGAAUUCAAUAUGAACUAUUAAGAGGAUUUGUUUUGGCUUUGAUGAGCAAACUACUGUGGACUUGUGAGCAUAUUUUCUGUUAAAUGAAUCAAUGUUUCUUUCAACUAACUUAAAUUA